AGGCAGCAUGCGAGGCACUGGGGCCAUGAACCUGACCAAGAUGAGCCUAUAACAGCCCUGGAGGAGACAGGUGAAGAAACAGCAUCACGGCACAGUGACCUGAAGGGCCGAGGAGGACGCUCAUGCUGCGGCGCAGAGGCUGGCCAGACCUGGCGGGGAAGGUGCUGCUUGUUGAAGACCAGGGAGGAGAUGGCAGAUGUGAGGGGCUGAGAGGUACCCUCCAAGGUGGAAGUAGGGAUCAUGUCUUCUCAGCUGUGGCCCCUUUGCAGCCGGUUCCACGGGAAAAGCAAAACAAAACAGCGGGGCAUUUUGCAUGGUCCACCAGCUUCUGAACGUACUUGGCCACCCCGUGACCUUCAGAACCAGCCCAGUGUACCUUGAA